rnacentral:rRNA from 1 species
GACGAACGCUGGCGGCGUGCCUAAUACAUGCAAGUAGAACGCUGAAGGAGGAGCUUGCUUCUCUGGAUGAGUUGCGAACGGGUGAGUAACGCGUAGGUAACCUGCCUGGUAGCGGGGGAUAACUAUUGGAAACGAUAGCUAAUACCGCAUAAUAGUAGAUGUUGCAUGACAUUUGCUUAAAAGAUGCAAUUGCAUCACUACCAGAUGGACCUGCGUUGUAUUAGCUAGUUGGUGGGGUAACGGCUCACCAAGGCGACGAUACAUAGCCGACCUGAGAGGGUGAUCGGCCACACUGGGACUGAGACACGGCCCAGACUCCUACGGGAGGCAGCAGUAGGGAAUCUUCGGCAAUGGACGGAAGUCUGACCGAGCAACGCCGCGUGAGUGAAGAAGGUUUUCGGAUCGUAAAGCUCUGUUGUAAGAGAAGAACGAGUGUGAGAGUGGAAAGUUCACACUGUGACGGUAUCUUACCAGAAAGGGACGGCUAACUACGUG